rfam:Fuerstia marisgermanicae strain NH11 chromosome, complete genome.
CCCGGUGACUAUACUUGCGAGGAAACACACGUUCCCAUUCCGAACACGCCCGUUAAGCUCGCAAGGCCGAUGAUAGUGCAUACCAGUGCGAAAGUAGGUUAUUGCCGGGA